GGAGUCUAUGCCCUCCACACCAUGAAUCCGGGAUGGCUUGUGACUUACUUUGACCAAUAGAAUGUGGCAGAGUGACAUUGUGUGACAUUUGAGGUGAAGUUUCAACAGGACUUGCAGAUUCUUUUUUCAUUGUCUUGAAAAUAAUCUACCAUUGAGGAAGCCCAGAUAACAGGCUGGCUCAGUGGAGGAGAACUGAGGUGCCAAGCGAAAAGACUUGCCAACUGCCGCACACAGAAAUGAGGCUUUCCAGAUCAAACCAGCCCUGGUCAACCAGCCACCUGGUCACAAACAUGAGGAAGCCCAGGUGGAGCAGAGGUAGAGGAGCGUCUCCCCAUAGCCACCACCGCAAAAGGCCCAUGGGCAGUACUGUCAGCUUAUCACCAAUGUUCACUGAAGGCCCAAGGACUCUUCAAUCAGCUUGUGGUGAAUGCUGCCAGGCCUGGGACUCACCCUUCAGGUC
rnacentral:lncRNA from 10 species